rnacentral:lncRNA from 1 species
CACACACACACACACACACACACACACACACACACACACAUAUGCACAUUGAGUUUUUUUUACAAUAUAGCAGCUCAAAUGCAUAUAUUAUAUCUCCAAAAUCACAAUUUCAAUAUGCAUAUUAUAUAUCACCAGAUUAGUAGUUCCAUUCAACUAUGAUUUAGUUAUUUAUCAUUAUCAAGUAGCAUAGGUCAGAGCCAAGAACAUUUAUUUCUGGCAUUUGGACUAAUUAUGGUCACUUCUAAUCUAUGAGCAGCAAACCAUAGUACUGCAUAAAUUUAAUUAACUAAAGAGAAGGGGAAGAAAUCAAAUUUGAUUGUACACAAAAGUAAUUUUACUAGUCGUAUGUCAAGUUGCCUAGUAAUUAUAUUAAAUGACAAGGGUUCUUUUUGAAUGCCCUUCUCCUCCCUUUCAUGGUGGGUGGUUACUAGUCACCAACAUUGCCAUCUGCAAGAUCAAGAUAAAGUCUAUCGUCGUCUCCUCUGCCCCUUGCAGCCAUUACCACUAGUAAUUUUAUUGAAAUGGAGGUGGAAUCGUCAUUAGACCUUGCACCUACUAAUUAACCUAUUAAGAACAAAAUUCUCCAAAUACCCUCAUAAAAUUGAUGGUCUAGAUAUCUCAUGCCAUUUUAUAAAAUAAUAUUAGGAGCACUGUAGCAAAACCUGGCACUCAACCAUAUUUGAUUUUAGGGGACAUAAUUGGCCAUUCAGAUGGAAUCAAUAUAUAUGCCCAAUUUCUUGUAUAGAUGGAAUAUCAUAGUUGAUAGAGAAAGCAAUCUACAAAAUUCUGGUUUACUCAAUUUCCAACCUCUUGGAUCUCUCUGUUACCUUUUGCUCUUUUAUAUUUCCAAAUCAUCAUACACUAAAAAGUUCUCUUCUUCUAGUAAAUUAGCAAGCUAAUGCCUUGGCAUGCAUGCAAUCCCUAUAUAGCAGGAUAACUAAAUGCCCCAAUAAAGUUUUGUCAGAUUUCUUCAUCACUAACAGAAAAAAAAAAAAUCAACACCAAAAAGAAGGACAGUUAUACUGAUACUGAACACUUGUUUAAAUUAAUAGAAACGAAUAGAAAAUUGGGAAAUGUGCCUUGAAGUCUUCAAAGCAGGAAAUUGAGGAAACAAGAAGAAAGUGACGGUUGAAAUCAGGAAGCGUAAAUUGUAUGAGCAAACAUAUAUAUUACAAGCGUGCCUGGAGAACUGUGGUGAAACUAUUAAAACCAUGCACACUUUUUGCUCAACUAAAUCAAGGUAUAUAUGAGUUUUAGAGAAUGAGAGGAAAAAGCACAUGAAAAUAUAUCAUUAAAAAGGAAAAAGAUUUUAAGAAACUAAAGAAAUUAUAAAAGACAAUUUUGUUAUAAACCUUGUGGGUUCAGCAACUAUAUGCCUUUAACAACUUGGAAUACUCUAUGGAUGGAAAACUAAUACUGUAGCAGGGUUCAAGAGCGUGGGGC